rnacentral:rRNA from 1 species
CAGGGAGACAGGUGGUGCAUGGUUGUCGUCAGCUCGUGUCGUGAGAUGUUGGGUUAAGUCCCGCAACGAGCGCAACCCCUACGUUUAGUUGCUAACGCGUGAAGGCGAGCACUCUAGACGAACUGCCGUUGACAAAACGGAGGAAGGUGGGGAUGACGUCAAAUCAUCAUGCCCCUUAUGUUCUGGGCUACACACGUGCUACAAUGGCCGGUACAGACGGACGCAAAGCCGCGAGGUGGAGCAAAUCCUAAAAAGCCGGUCUCAGUUCGGAUUGCAGGCUGCAAUUCGCCUGCAUGAAGUCGGAAUCGCUAGUAAUCGCAGGUCAGCAUACUGCGGUGAAUACGUUCCCGGGCCUU